UGGGGGGCAGCUGCUGACAGUGGCCCCCUUUGCUGAGGGCUGGGUUUGGGGCUGGGAAAUUGGAUGAGGCGGUUUUCACCACGUGUCCUUUGAUCCUUUCUGAAGGAUGAAUGAUAUGAAGGCAUUACUAUUCAAAAAACAUGUUUUAAGGCGGCUUCAGAGUAUUUUCCUGUGUCUUCAGGAGUGACGAAAAGAGGCCACUGCCACCCUCGUUUUACAAAGGCAAACAACAGGUGGGACUUGGCCAUGGGCUCCUCUCUGCUGGGUCGGGGCUCCCCUUACAAGGCUUUUUGCCUCUGAUUUCAUCUACAUCUGAAGACCUAUCUGUCUUGGGAGCCACUCAAACUUCUCAGAGGCAAGCCCAGCUUCACGAGGAGCCUGCUGAAUGAUGACAUUCACUGGGACCACAAAAUGCAGAGCCACGUCUCAGGUGGAAGGGUUGGAAGAAAUUCAGUGUGAAAGUCUGGUCUCCCUGCACCGCCCCCCGCCCCCCCAGGACAGACUUGAAAGCCGGUGUACCUCGGGAUCGUGCUGUGAGGACGCCGGGCUAACCCCUGUGUUUGCACUACUACUCACUCCAACGAUUUUUAUGAAGUGCCAGCUAUGCCAUAGGCGGGGUUCUGGAUGCUGAGAACACAGCAAUUUUCCUGCCUUCAGUACAAUUUAGGGGAGAUGAGAACAGAGACGCCAAAGAACAGCUACCAUCAGACAGACACAGAGGAUGCCCCUCCCUGGGCUCUCACUCACCCUCAGGAAGCAGGUGGCAUUGUACUCAGUUCACAGAUGCAGACACGGAGGCCAGGAGAUAUUACUAAGUGCAUCUGAAGUCACAUGGGCAACACCUUUGAACUGGACUUCAUUUUGGGUUAAAUCCAGAUCUGACUCUGAAGCCAAAGUUCUUAACCAGGCUGCACCAGGGCCACUGUCAAAGGAAAUAGACUUUCAUUUGUAGUCUAUUUCCCCCUGUCCCUCUUUUCCCCCCAUCUUCCCAUGAGACAUGGUCAAGGGUGACAGAACGGGGUCUGAGGGCUGGGGUGGGGGUAGAACCCUGGGGUCACUUCUUGAGGCCACCCGGCCAUGCUCCUGCCCGUCCUGUCCCAGGAGGCCAGUCCUUCCCCCGCUUCAGUCCCAUUCUGAACGAGAUGGUCACGCAGAAGUAAGUCACCGAGUCAGUAAAAUGUCCUCUCUGACACCAACACUGCUUUGGUGUGUUUUUUCCCUCCUCUUGUACUAACAAACGUGUUCAUGUAAAGACAAAAAAGAAAACCAAGCGAUCUGUCACAGUCACACCUUCUCUCCUGGCCUCCAUAAUGAAUGGUAGUGCUUAGAGUUAAUCAAUCACUCCCGUAACUGUCCUUGGGAUGCCUCGCUUGCAAAGGGCCCCAAGCCCAGGCCCUGGAGUUUGCUGCUCUCACAGACUGCCCGUGCACUCGUGUAAACCCCGUGUUCCUGGUGCUCGCCAAGCACCUGCAGCAGGCGCCCAGCCGGCUGGUCCUGGUGAUCCUGUGGUCCUCCCACACCCUGGGGGAUGUGCCGUCUCAUUGGGCUGUGGGCAGGAGGGGUCUGCAGGCUGAGAGGACACUGCUUGUGGGGAGCAGGGCUGUGAUGUGAACCUAAACCUGUGUCUUGGG
rnacentral:lncRNA from 12 species